CUACGUGCCAGCAGCCGCGGUAAUACGGAGGAUGCGAGCGUUAUCCGGAAUCAUUGGGUUUAAAGGGUCCGUAGGCGGGCUAAUAAGUCAGAGGUGAAAGCGCUCAGCUCAACUGAGCAACUGCCUUUGAAACUGUUAGUCUUGAAUGGUUGUGAAGUAGUUGGAAUGUGUAGUGUAGCGGUGAAAUGCUUAGAUAUUACACAGAACACCGAUAGCGAAGGCAUAUUACUAACAAUUAAUUGACGCUGAUGGACGAAAGCGUGGGGAGCGAACAGGAUUAGAUACCCUGGUAGUCCACGCUGUAAACGAUGGAUACUAGCUGUUUGGUUGCAAGACUGAGUGGCUAAGCGAAAGUGAUAAGUAUCCCACCUGGGGAGUACGCACGCAAGUGUGAAACUCAAAGGAAUUGACGGGGGCCCGCACAAGCGGAGGAACAUGUGGUUUAAUUCGAUGAUACGCGAGGAACCUUACCCGGGAUUGAA
rnacentral:rRNA from 1 species